rnacentral:lncRNA from 1 species
GUGUGCAUGUGCCAGGAAGAGGACGUUGCAAGUCAUGAUAGUCCCCCCAUAUUCGUUCACAGAGAUCCUCUCCCUUUCUGUGGCCUUUACACGGACACACUGUCAUUUCUUCACAUUGAGCACAUAGACUGCUAAGCUCUUUUCAGUCGAUGUUGUGGUGAAUAAUCUUGUGCCAUUUAUUGUCCUGAUGUUAGAUACAACAGCUUCUUAAAAUGCCUAGAAAGGAGGCCGCUCUUCGAAGAUGGAUGCAUGCGGGGUGUUUUUAGUUUUGAAAUAAUCUUACCCCAUCAUGAACAAAGAGGUUUUUGUUAGCAUUUGUCCUCAGCAGUUUAUCUCGAGGGCCAUGCCAUGGCUGUUGUGUUACAGCUUUAUUUUUUGCCUACGUAAAUAUGAGAAGCUGGGUGAUGUGGCACACAUCAUUAACCCCAGCACUUGGGAGGCAAAGGCUAGAGGACUUGAGUUCCAGGCCAGCCAGAGCUGCAGAGAAACCCUGUCUCAGAAAAGUAGGUAGGUAGGUAGGUAGUCAGAUAGUCUGUGUCUGAGGGGCAGAUAGAUAAACAAACAGGCAGGCAGACAGACAGACAGAAGUCCAUGUCUAAAGGGCAGAUGCAGGAAGUACAGCUACAGUAUGGCAGCCAUAGUAGCCUGAGGAGUCCCCUUAACUUUAUAGGGACCUGGAUGCAGGUUAUGCUGAGAUUAGUGGCUUCAGUGCAGAAGAGUGAGUACUAGGAGAGUUGGGAUUUAGUAAAGGUACUUUAAACUGGUUUAAGCUGGAGGAUUACAAGAAAGGGAGUUGCUAGGAGAAAGUAAGGUUCUAGAGAGUACAGAUGUGAACCUUGAGUGUCACAGCCACCUAUCUCAUCUUAAAUACUAGUGUUAGGAUUCAGACAGGGCUCAAAUUUACAUCUCGAGAGAUCUGUUAAGAAACCUGAGUGUGAGGGGGUUGGGGAUUUAGCUCAGCAAGGCCCUGGGUUCGGUCCCCAGCUCCGGAAAAAAAAAAAAAAAAAA